GACGAACGCUGGCGGCGUGCUUAACACAUGCAAGUCGAACGGUAAGGCCCCUUCGGGGGUACACGAGUGGCGCACGGGUGAGUAACACGUGUGCAACCUUCCCUUGACUCUGGAAUAACAGUUGGAAACAGCUGCUAAUACUGGAUAUUCAUCGUCUCCUUCCUGGGGGGUGGUGGAAGGCCCCGGCGGUCCGGGUUGGGCUCGCGGCCUAUCAGCUUGUUGGUGAGGUAAUGGCUCACAAAGGCUUCGACGGUUAGCCGGCCUGAGAGGGGGACCGGCCACACUGGGACUGAGAUACGGCCCAGACGCCUACGGGAGGCAGCAGUGGGGAAUAUUGCACAAUGGGCGCAAGCCUGAUGCAGCAGCGCCGCGUGCGGGAUGACGGCCUUCGGGUUGUAAACCGCUUUCAGUAGAGACGAAGGUUGACUGACGUUACCUACAGAAGAAGGACCGGCUAACUACGUG
rnacentral:rRNA from 1 species